AAUAAAUGUGAAUUUUUUAUGCCAGGGUAGUAAUAGUUAUGUUCUUGAAACCCAAAGAAUUUGGCGGUAUUUUAGUCCUUUCAGAGGAAUCUGUCCCGUAAUCGACAGUCCACGAGAUAAUUUACUUAUCCUUGUAUUUCAGUUUGUAUACCUCCGUCAUAAGAAGAUCUUUUUAGAGAUAAAUUUUCUUAAUAUAUUAAGUAUAAAAUGUCAGGUCAAGGUGCAAUUUAUGGAUGAGUGGAGAUGGGUUACAAUAAAUUUAUUUAAAUGGAUUAAAUUAUUUAAUUUUUUAUGAAGGUGGAUUUGAUAGUAAUUUUAAUUAUUUGUUAUUAUGAUUUUGGCUCUAAAAUAUGC
rnacentral:rRNA from 1 species